rnacentral:lncRNA from 1 species
CCAAGAACGUGCCUGUGGGGAAGAGCAGCUAUUUCCAGAUUUUGGAAAGGAAACAUUUCACCAUCAAACACCUGGUUGCCAAGGAGUCAGGUCCCAAGGCGGGUCAAAGCUGGACCUGGGAAAGGCUACGAGGUCUGACCAGUGAGAUUGGAGCUCCAACCUUGUCAUCGCCUGAGCAAAGGCAGAUAGGAAAAUGCCAGGAAAGCAAGUCAGACCCCAGGCACACACCCCACAUUGUGUUCUCUGGUAAGCUGCCCCAGCUCCUUGUGAUAGCCACAGCCUCCAGAUACGAUGGGAACGCAUUCUGUGGUCACCGGGCGCCCUGGUUUCCGUAGCUGCACCUUCACUAGCAGGAGGACUCCAUACAAAGGGGGUCCCCACAGUCACAA